GAAACUCAUACCGGUUUGGAACAACUUGAGGAUGGUCUUUGGAGAUUGCAUUAAAGUUGCAUUAAAACCCUGACGUCCUCCUUCAUUGCCAUACAAAGUGGGUUGGAACAAAUGUCAUUCUGUAUUUGGAGGAGGAGGAGGAGCAACAAAGGCGAUACCCUCAUGUCCUG